AAAUUUCUCUCAUAAGCUCAUUGAUUGUGAAAAUUACUCGUAAAAUGUCUGACCGAAUUGCGCAAAUUUUCUCACAAAAAACAGUGCUCAUAACUGGCGCCACUUUUAUCAGUAAAUUAAUUGUUGAAAAAAUACUACGGUGCUGUCCUAAUGUUGACAAAAUACAUAUUUUGCUGGAUUCAACAUUAAAAAACCUAACUGAUGACCCGGUAAGUUACAUUGAAUUCUCUUCGGCAACUUCAAUUUUUUUCAGCUUUUCGAAACGCUUAAAAUUCAGCAAGGGUUUGAAAUUUUCAAUAAAGUCGUUCCCAUUGCAGCCGAUAUGUCCCACCCCGAGCUAAAUUUAAAUGUUUCCAAGCGUCAUGAAAUAUGUAAAAAUGUUCAGAUUAUUUUUCAUUGUGCUUCAAUUGAUUCAGACUUAAAAAAGACAAUCCUUACCAAUGUCAGAGGCACCAAAUUGUUGCUCGAACUGGCCAAACAGUGCAAAAAACUAGAAAUUUUUAGUUACAUCUCUACAAUUUAUUGCCAACUUGACGAAGAAAUUGUGCACGAAAAAAUAUAUCAAAGACCGGAAAAUGCACAGAGAAUUAUCAGAAUUUGCGAAAUUCUCGACGACGAUAUGCUCAUAUUAAUCAAACAUAAGUAAUUCGACCACUUCCGAUACGCAAUGUUUCUAAUAAAAAAUUUUCAGAAUUUUGGGUAAUUUUCCCAAUUCUUAUAUUUUUAGCAAAGCACUGAGCGAAAAUUUAAUCACCGAUGAAAUAAACAACCUACCUAUUAUAAUUUUUCGACCUUCAGUUGGUAUGCUUGUCCCAAAUUUUACCAAAGCUGGAAUAAUGAUUAAUUUACAGUGGUGCCAGUCUGGCGGGAACCAUUGCCAGGUUAUGGUGACGACAAUAUGGAACUUUUAAUAGGUGCAGCAGGAAAAGGACUUAUUAAGACUUUGUAUUGUAAAAACGACGCAAAUUUGGAUUAUAUUCCUGGCGACAUUCUUGCCAACACCCUCAUGUUUAGUGUUUUUGAUUUUAUUACCAACAAUGGGUAAAUUAUUACUUCUUUUCAGAUAACAAACAACAAGUUUUUAAUUUAAUUACAGACAACGGCGGGUGUACAACGCCGUCUCCUCAAACAAACAUAAAAUUACUUUUAGUCAAGUUGUAAACAUUGGUCAAAAUAUAAUUGAAACAAGUGUACCAUUAAAUUUCGUUUGGUGGUACCCCGGGGUUUCCCUCACUCAAUCAAAAUUCAAACAUUACAUAUGUCUUGGUUUGCUUCACCUAAUUGACGUUAUUUUGAUUUUAUUAAGGAAAAAACCAAUUUUAGUUGACAUACAAAGACAAGCGUCCCAACAGUGCGAAUUUUAUGUUAACAGAAAUUGGAAUUUUAAUAAUUCUGAUAGUUUGAAAGCAAUUGAAAAUAAUUUAAAUCCAUGUGAACGCAAGACUUACAAAAUGGACGUUUCCGGUAUCAAUUUUAGGGAUUAUUUCAAGAGUUGUAUACAUUUUAUGAAAGAGACUAAAACAGAUGAUCAGAUUUAUAAGGCAAAAAAACAGAUGAAAAUAAUGCAAUGUUUGGAUCAGUUGGUGAGAGUUGUUUUCUUUACGUUGGCAAUAUAUUAUACAUUUAUAAUUUUUGGUUACUGAAUAAAAAAAUACAAAACUAUUAAGGCUGGCUUUCACUCUCUGAUCUUUCUGUGAGAUGACGUUACGUUUACUUGUCCCAUUUGGAUCAAAAUCACCAGCAAAGUAUUAACAGUGGCGAAAAUCUGCAAAAUUGUAUUCUUGUCAAUUUCGAAAAAGUCCGCAGCUGUGAAUUUAGGUAAAUUAACGACCACCAAAUUAGUAAAUUCAUAUAAUUCUUGUUUUUGAAUGUUUUCCGUCACAGCCCAACGCAAUUUGUACGUCAGGCUUACCAACUUGUAACUUUCUUGCACGACUUUGCUACACGUCAAAAUCAAAGACACCGUCAUACACUGUGUAUAAUAAAAACGGUAAUAUACUCAAAAUUGAUAAUACAAUAACUUA